ACAAAUGCUUAUUUAUACUAAGUCUAUCUCUAAACCAAAAUGGGUCAUAAGUGACAUCAUUCUCUAAGCCCAUAUUAGUCUUACAUCUUCUUUUUUUUCUUUCUAAAAUAAACUUAAUGUAAGUAAGAAAAGUAUCUUCACUUACACAUAACAAAAAGUAAAUCAAUAAUAAAACUAUUACAAUUCCAAAUCAAAGCAAACUAAGAAUUAAUACAAACCAAAUUAAAAUAUAUAAAGUUUAUCCUAAUUUAUUAAAAUAUGAAUCAUCUUCAUGCUCUUGAGAUCCUUAUCA
rnacentral:lncRNA from 1 species